AUCCAGCUGACCAGUCCCAAGUAGGACGGAACGCGCGUCAAACUGGAU
rfam:Schistosoma mansoni strain Puerto Rico chromosome W, complete genome